rnacentral:lncRNA from 1 species
UGGCCGGCUCUGUCCACUUUGUCUCUGGAUGGCUAUGGCAUUCACCGAUUCCCGGUUGCUUUGUCUGCCAAUUUUCUGAUGUGUGUAAGGCCCAGUUUGAUUAAAUUCCGUCACAUCAAAUAUUUAGACAUAUGCAUAAAGUAUUAAAUAUAGAUUAUUUAUGAAACUAAAAACACAACUAGUGAAUAAUUUACGAUACGAAUCUUUUAAACAUAAUUAGUUCAUGGUUAGACACAGGGGUGGAUCUAAAGGGAGGGCUAGGGGCUCUAGCUCCUACACCUAGUGCAUCAAUGAAAAUAUAGGAGGGUGAAAGAGAAAAAGAGGUGGAGAAAAGAAGAAAAAUAAAGAGAAAUGGAAGAAGAAGAAGAAGAAGAAGAAGAAGAAGAAGAAGAAGAAGAAGAAGAAGAAGACAUGAACCCCCUUCAAUUCUAUUCUAUAUGAGACACUAAAUGUCAAAUAAAAUAAAAAUUCAACAGUACUUGUUAAACUUUAACAUCUCUAAGCAGCACGUUAGUCAUUGCCAUGAGGCGAGGACACCGGUACCAGCAGCUCAGCACGAGGUGAGUGGAAGCUGGAUCAGUGUUCCCAUUGUACUUGCUCCCAAAAAUUUAGAAUGCAAAAGUUCAGUAGUUUUAAAAAAGUCAUUUUUCUUUUAUAUAAAAUAGUAUCGAUAUUUAUGGCUCCAACACAACGGUACACC